rnacentral:lncRNA from 1 species
CCCAUGUUAUUCUUUAAGCCCAUUGAGCUCACUUGGCCCUUAAGCUUUGUUUGAACAAAUUUGGCCACCUCUUGGAAUAAUCCCAUUUAGAAAAGUAGUUGGGGAUGAAGUCAAUUUCUUGUUAAGGCAUUCAAGUUUAGACAAUUGGAAUUUACUUUUCUGUUUGAGCUGAUCCCGUUAAGGAAAUAAAAGGGUUCUAGAAUUGAUUGCCUGUUUGGAAUGAUACCUUCAGGAAUCCUUAUGGGAAAAUGAUUUCUCCAUUUUUCUACUCCUACGUGUGUUCAUCUAUUGUACUACAUGGGUAAGAUCUUGUGGUGUGGCAGACUCGCAGAUAAUUAUUCUGUAGGAGUCUGGAUUUCCAUGAGGUUCCUCCUUGAUGCAAGAUUUCAUCUUUGGAACUAAAUUUUGGCCAUUCAGGAUCACAUCAUCCCCCCCCUUCUU